AGAGUUUGAUCCUGGCUCAGGAUAAACGCUGGCGGCGCACAUAAGACAUGCAAGUCGAACGGAAGUCGUUAUAAAAGGAGAGAAGAUUUGUCGGAUUGAAUUUUAUAACAAUGGCUUUAGUGGCGGACUGGUGAGUAACGCGUAAGGAACCUACCUAUUAGAGGGGAACAACAAUGAGAAAUCAUUGCUAAUACCGCAUAUGCCAUAACUGCCGCAUGGUAGAAGUGGGAAAGGAGUAAUCCGCUGAUAGAUGGCCUUGCGUCUGAUUAGUUAGUUGGUGGGGUAACGGCCUACCAAGACGACGAUCAGUAGCCGGACUGAGAGGUUGAACGGCCACAUUGGGACUGAGAUACGGCCCAGACUCCUACGGGAGGCAGCAGUCGGGAAUAUUGCGCAAUGGAGGAAACUCUGACGCAGUGACGCCGCGUAUAGGAAGAAGGUUUUCGGAUUGUAAACUAUUGUCGUUAGGGAAGAUACAAGACAGUACCUAAGGAGGAAGCUCCGGCUAACUACGUGCCAGCAGCCGCGGUAAUACGUAGGGAGCAAGCGUUAUCCGGAUUUACUGGGUGUAAAGGGUGCGUAGGCGGCUUGGUAAGUCAGAUGUGAAAUGUAUGGGCUCAACCCAUGCACUGCAUUUGAAACUAUUGAGCUUGAGUGAAGUAGAGGUAGGCGGAAUUCCCUGUGUAGCGGUGAAAUGCGUAGAGAUAGGGAGGAACACCAGUGGCGAAGGCGGCCUACUGGGCUUUAACUGACGCUGAGGCACGAAAGCGUGGGUAGCAAACAGGAUUAGAUACCCUGGUAGUCCACGCUGUAAACGAUGAUUACUAGGUGUGGGGGGUCUGACCCCUUCCGUGCCGGAGUUAACACAAUAAGUAAUCCACCUGGGGAGUACGGCCGCAAGGUUGAAACUCAAAGGAAUUGACGGGGGCCCGCACAAGCAGUGGAGUAU
rnacentral:rRNA from 1 species